UGAGGAAUAUUGCGCAAUGGGGGCAACCCUGACGCAGCGACGCCGCGUGAGUGAGGAAGGCCUUCGGGUCGUAAAGCUCUGUCAAAGGGAAAGAAGUGCAUGGUGGCUAAUACCUGCCAUGUUUGACGGUACCCUUAAAGGAAGCACCGGCUAACUCCGUGCCAGCAGCCGCGGUAAUACGGAGGGUGCAAGCGUUGUUCGGAAUCACUGGGCGUAAAGGGCGCGUAGGCGGUUUGAUAAGUCAGAUGUGAAAGCCCACGGCUUAACUGUGGAAGUGCAUUUGAAACUGUCAGACUUGAGUAUCAGAGGGGAAAGUGGAAUUCCCGGUGUAGAGGUGAAAUUCGUAGAUAUCGGGAGGAAUACCGGUGGCGAAGGCGACCUCCUGGACCAUUCCUGACACUCAGACGCGAAAGCUAGGGUAGCAAACG
rnacentral:rRNA from 1 species